UACAGGGGGUGCAAACGUUGCUCGGAAUUAUUGGGCGUAAAGCGCGCGUAGGCGGCCGCUUAAGUCGGAUGUGAAAGCCCCUGGCUCAACUGGGGAAGUGCACCCGAAACUGAGUGGCUUGAGUACUAAAGAGGGUCGCGGAAUUCCCGGUGUAGAGGUGAAAUUCGUAGAUAUCAGGAGGAACACCGGUGGCGAAGGCGGCGUUCUGGACUGCAACUGACACUGAUGAACGAAAGCCAGGGGAGCAAACGGG
rnacentral:rRNA from 1 species